rnacentral:rRNA from 1 species
UACGUAGGGUGCAAGCGUUAAUCGGAAUUACUGGGCGUAAAGCGUGCGCAGGCGGUGAUGUAAGACAGGUGUGAAAUCCCCGGGCUUAACCUGGGAACUGCAUUUGUGACUGCAUCGCUGGAGUGCGGCAGAGGGGGAUGGAAUUCCGGCGUGUAGCAGUGAAAUGCGUAGAUAUGCGGAGGAACACCGAUGGCGAAGGCAAUCCCCU